AAGUCUAGAGAAACGUCAUAGAAGAACCUGAAGUUUGUUUUUGAUGGGUUAUAUGACAACAAAGCAUAGUCACUGGCAGCCUGCUUGGGACAGAGUGGGUUUCAAAAUUUGAUGCACACUAUCAAGUUGUGAGGAUCCUGUAUCAAAGUAGGACAGCCGGUAUUUUACUGGACAAAUCGGUACAGUUGAAAGUUGUCACAUCCUGGGGACUUUUGAAAAACCUGUACCUAAUAUCAGCAAUUCCCCUCAGCAGCUCAGGAGAACUGAAGAUCAGUGGGCAUCCUCCAAUGCCACGACCAAACCAGUUGCCGCUUUACACCCAGGAACUCGAGAGCAGAUGUUGGUGAGCUACUAGCUUCUGGAGGACAAGCGUCAGCCCUGCAGGUCUCAGCUUGAGCUCAGCAGAUGCCUGGCCAGUAGGGUCCGCCGUAGCGGGAUGAGGAGAAACAAUCCCUGCUGGUUUUGCCUUCCUCAGGGGCGCCACAGCCAAGGUGACAGUCCUUCUGGAAUCCACAGCCAGGAUGCGAAUCUGCGCUCCCCUGACUGCAUGACUCACCCUGCACACCACGUGCCCCUGCUUUUACCAGGGACCCCCAACCUUUUUAGGUAUAAAAAAAGUUUAAAUACAUCUUUAAAACUUCCUCUCAUCAAUGCAGUGCAUCUUGAUUUAUUUCUCACACGUUUCAGAUUAGUUCUGAAAGCCCUGCUGGUAGGAAGCUUUGUGUGUGCCGCCACCAUCUAACCUGUAAUGAGCUCACCAGAGAGUUAACAUUAGAACUUUAGAAACACUCUCUUCUUUCAGCGCCUCUGUGAAAGGAACUCAUUUUAAUUUACUGUUGUUAUUUGUGAAUGGAAACUCUUAAGGGAAGCACCAGGAGUUUAGUGAUGCCAUGAAGGACACAAUACAGAAGGAAAUAACAGAAAUAGGCCCCCUAUGUGUACUUUUAACCAGAGCUUACAGCUGUUAGUGCUAAUUACAAUGUAGCAUGUUCUAAUAAAGUAUUUACUAAUCACA